UGGGCCUUAGUAUAGGAUGUACGAGGAUUUUUGGAAUCUUAAGGGGUAGUUUGAUUCUACCAGGCGCAG
rnacentral:tRNA from 1 species